rnacentral:rRNA from 1 species
AUUGAACGCUGGCGGCAGGCCUAACACAUGCAAGUCGAGCGGAUGAGAGGAGCUUGCUUCUCGAUUCAGCGGCGGACGGGUGAGUAAUGCCUAGGAAUCUGCCUGGUAGUGGGGGACAACGCUUCGAAAGGAACGCUAAUACCGCAUACGUCCUACGGGAGAAAGCAGGGGACCUUCGGGCCUUGCGCUAUCAGAUGAGCCUAGGUCGGAUUAGCUAGUUGGUGAGGUAAUGGCUCACCAAGGCGACGAUCCGUAACUGGUCUGAGAGGAUGAUCAGUCACACUGGAACUGAGACACGGUCCAGACUCCUACGGGAGGCAGCAGUGGGGAAUAUUGGACAAUGGGCGAAAGCCUGAUUCAGCCAUGCCGCGUGUGUGAAGAAGGUCUUCGGAUUGUAAAGCACUUUAAGUUGGGAGGAAGGGUUGUAGAUUAAUACUCUGCAAUUUUGACGUUACCGACAGAAUAAGCACCGGCUAACUCUGUGCCAGCCGCCGCAGUAAAAC